AUUGAACGCUGGCGGCAGGCCUAACACAUGCAAGUCGAGCGGAGCGGCGGACGGGUGAGUAAUGCCGAGGAAUCUGCCUGGUAGUGGGGGAUAACGUCCGGAAACGGGCGCUAAUACCGCAUACUAUCAGAUGAGCCUAGGUCGGAUUAGCUAGUUGGUGGGGUAAAGGCGUACCAAGGCGACGAUCCGUAACCGAUCUGAGAGGUUGAUCAGUCACACUGGAACUGAGACACGGUCCAGACUCCUACGGGAGGCAGCAGUGGGGAAUAUUGGGCAAUGGGCGAAAGCCUGAUCCAGACAUGCCGCGUGAGUGAAGAAGGUCUUCGGAUUGUAAAGCCCUUUAAGUUGGGAGGCGGUACCAACAGAGUAAGCACCGGCUAACUUCGUGCCAGCAGCCGCGGUAAUUC
rnacentral:rRNA from 1 species